GCCGAGCUCUAUAGCGAGAGCUUGUAACCCGAGCGGGGGCACCAAGGUGGUCAAACGUUGGUUCAAUUCCGACCGGCAGGAUUAGGUUAGAGUAAUUUGUUGGCACGCCCGUUCCAAGUAGGGAGUUGAGCCACGAGACUUGAGCGAAAGCUUGGUUUUCAUGGGUUCUUAGAGAGGAGGGGACCGCGUCAGGCUGGUUUCACAGAGCCAGCGACAACCUCCUGCUCCCGUCGGUGGAAGGAUUACGAGCCGGUACUCCCCUCAUCCACACAUUGCCCUAGGGGUCGAGUCCAAUUGGACGAUCACCUUU
rnacentral:SRP_RNA from 1 species